rnacentral:tRNA from 1 species
GGAAGGCUGUGACUCAGUAGCAGAGCAUCUGCUUGACAUGCAGUAGAUCCCUGGUUCAAUCCCUGCCAUCUCCA